UACGGGGGGAGCAAGCGUUGUUCGGAUUUACUGGGCGGAAAGGGCGCGUAGGCGGCGCAACAAGUCACUUGUGAAAUCUCCGGGCUUAACCCGGAGCGGCCAAGUGAUACUGUCGUGCUAGAGUGCGGAAGGGGCUACUGGAAUUCUCGGUGUAGCGGUGAAAUGCGUAGAUAUCGAGAGGAACACCUGCGGCGAAGGCGGGUAGCUGGGCCGACACUGACGCUGAGGCGCGAAAGCCAGGGGAGCGAACAGG
rnacentral:rRNA from 1 species